GACAGAGGUGCCGAGCGUUAGGCGGAAUUACUGGGCGUAAAGCGUGCGCAGGCGGUGAGCUGUGUCCGAUGUGAAAGCCCCGGGCUUAACCUGGGAAUGGCAUUGGAAACUGGCUCGCUGGAGUGUGGCAGAGGGGGGUGGAAUUCCGCGUGUAGCAGUGAAAUGCGUAGAGAUGCGGAGGAACACCGAUGGCGAAGGCAGCCCCCUGGGCUAACACUGACGCUCAGGCACGAAAGCGUGGGGAGCAAACAGG
rnacentral:rRNA from 1 species